ACUGGGCCGUUGCGAUGAUGUGCGACGGAGUCCGUAUCGGCCCAUGAAGUUUUUCAGACGUCCAUCGCACCGCACAGUGUGGUUACUGUGCGGCCCGAACACGGGAGAGAACGCUGAGCGUUACAAC
rfam:Corynebacterium argentoratense DSM 44202, complete genome.